UUUACCCCCAAAAUGUUUCAAAAUGUGGCACUUUCACCCUCAAAAACACAGCAAUCAGUUGGCCAAAGUGCAGGCAGUAAAUCAGUCCCAAAAUGAGGUGAAAAUGGCCUAAAACACAGUAGAAAAUGGCCAAAAAACGCAGGCGCGUUGGCCUCAAAUUGCAGCAGCAUUUUUCCCCCAAAAUGCUUCAAAAAAUGUGGCAUUUUCCCCCAUGUUUAUGGCAGCAACUUCAUGAAAAAUGCAGCAGUAAAUACAGCCACUGUUUGGCUUAAAUCAGUCCCCAAAAGUGCAGCCACACUAGGUAUAAAUUACAGUAACUGUUUGGUUCUAAAUGUGUCUC